rnacentral:sRNA from 1 species
GUCUGGUGUUAUUUAUACAUUAAGUUUUUCUGUAUGUUAAAAGUCAGAUUGUGUCUAACAAGUUUAUAUAUAUAGUGUUGUGCCAGAGCAGGUGACUUCUGUGAUGUGAAGCUUUUUGGAUUCACUUUGGAUUUUACAUUUUGUUGGAUAACCCUGGUGCAUAGUAGUAGAGACAGGGGUUUCACCGUGUUGGCCAGGCUGGUCUCGAACUCCUGACUUUAGGUGAUCCACCCUCCUCAGCCUCCCAAAGUGCUGGGAUUACAGGCGUGAGCCACCGAGCCUGGCCCUUUGUUGUUGUUGUUGUUGUUGUUGUUUUUGUUUUUAAUGGACUUAUAGUCCCUCUGUUUGGGGUAAAUUGAGUUUGGAUGUUUGUUGAAAGUUUUUCUAAAAUGUAUCAUGUGCUAUAUUGGAUCUUUCCCUGUUUUUUUUUGUAUCUAGCAGACCUUCAUGGUUAUAGUCACUAAUGUUCUCAUUACAUAACUUGAGGUCUGGAACCUAUGGGAAACUGAUCAUUAUGGUUUGAGGAUUUUUUUCCCCGUUUAAGGCAAUUUUUUGAUAUCAGCUUGACCAUAUCUUAAGUUACUGGGUUUUUUUGUUUGUUUGUUUUUUGCUUAUUUAUACUUGUGUUUUUAGGUUGAAGGAGCACCAGUUGAUUCGGUGGUUUUGAGGAAAAUUUGGGAGGCAAAUAAGUUAUAAUAUAAAUUGCUUUAUUGUUGAACUUACUACUCAGUCACUGAGAAUUUCUAUUAAUGUCCUUCUCUCGUAGUUCAAAUAUCAACCUUUCCCUUCCUAUCUAUAGGAUUCUAUUGUUAUUUGGUGUCAUUAUAAUAAUAUUGAGGUUAUUUUAACAAACACUUGUAAUUAUUCAAUGUCCAGAGGAGUCCAGAGUGAAUAAUAAUACAAUUUCCAUCUGACUUCCCCCACCCCAGUCUCUUGCAUGGCACCAAGAAUGUUACCAAUUCAAGCAGUUUAAGAUUGCCAAGACAAAAUAGUGAUGGUGGUCAGAAAAAUAAGCCUCGUGAACAUAUUAUAGACUGUGGAGAUAUUGUCUGGAGUCUUGCUUUUGGGUCGUCAGUUCCAGAAAAACAGAGUCGCUGUGUAAAUAUAGAAUGGCAUCGCUUCAGAUUUGGACAAGAUCAGCUACUUCUUGCUACAGGGUUGAACAAUGGGCGUAUCAAAAUAUGGGAUGUAUAUACAGGAAAACUCCUCCUUAACUUGGUAGAUCAUACUGAAGUGGUCAGAGAUUUAACUUUUGCUCCAGAUGGAAGCUUGAUCCUGGUGUCAGCUUCAAGAGACAAAACUCUCAGAGUAUGGGACCUGAAAGAUGAUGGAAACAUGAUGAAAGUAUUGAGGGGGCAUCAGAAUUGGGUGUACAGCUGUGCAUUCUCUCCUGACUCUUCUAUACUGUGUUCAGUCGGAGCCAGUAAAGCAGUGGUGGCAGCAAUAUUGGUGUGAUUGAGGUUAUGCUGGCACCACUCGCACACAGGCGCACAAUGGUGUUAGCUGGGCAGAAAGAGUGGCAUCUCUGGCUACCGGGCUGGGGGCGACCUUUACCAUAGGAUGAAGUAACCUUGCAUUCGGCUGCAAGGUGUACUGUACGUACACAGGUGCUGGUCGAUGUCCACUUUCUGCUUUUCUUUCUUUCUUUUUUUCUUUUUUAAAGUAAUUUCCCCCACAGUAAAAUACACUGACUCCUGAGUAAAUUGAUUUUCCAGUUUUAUGGAAUUGGGAGUCUGACAAGUGAAACCAAUUUAAUGUAAAGUAUUUGGCUUUCAAAUGGUUUCUCUGUGCUAUUUUUUGGAAUUCUUUCAGAUUCCAGAGAUAUCUUACGUCUUUGAUUCAAUUUAAAAUUUGUACUUAUUUUCUUUUAGAAAUAAUGUAUUGUGUCUGUGCAG